rnacentral:rRNA from 1 species
UACGGCGGGCGCAAGCGUUGUUCGGAAUCACUGGGCGUAAAGCGCGUGUAGGCGGCUUGGCAAGUCGGAUGUGAAAUCCCGAGGCUCAACCUCGGAACUGCACUCGAAACUGCCUGGCUCGAGUCCCGGAGAGGGUGGCGGAAUUCACGGUGUAGGGGUGAAAUCCGUAGAUAUCGGGAGGAACACCAGUGGCGAAGGCGGCCACCUGGACGGUGACUGACGCUGAGACGUGAAAGCGUGGGGAGCAAACAGG